AACGAACGCUGGCGGCGCGCCUAAUACAUGCAAGUCGAGCGAGAAGACGUAGCAAUACGUUUGUAAAGCGGCGAACGGGUGAGGAAUGCAUGGGUAACCUACCCUCGAGUGGGGAAUAACUAGCCGAAAGGUUAGCUAAUACCGCGUACGCUCCUUGGACUUCGGUUCAGGGAGGAAAGCGAUACCGUGGGUAUCGCGCUCUUGGAUGGGCUCAUGUCCUAUCAGCUUGUUGGUGAGGUAACGGCUCACCAAGGCUUCGACGGGUAGCUGGUCUGAGAGGACGAUCAGCCACACUGGCACUGCGACACGGGCCAGACUCCUACGGGAGGCAGCAGUAAGGAAUAUUGCGCAAUGGGCGAAAGCCUGACGCAGCGACGCCGCGUGGGGGAUGAAGGUCUUCGGAUUGUAAACCCCUUUCGGGAGGGAAGAUGACGAGCAAUCGUUCGGACGGUACCUCCAGAAGCAGCCACGGCUAACUUCGUGCCAGCAGCCGCGGU
rnacentral:rRNA from 1 species